UACCCGCGCCUUUCCCCAGGAGCUUCGCAGACCGUGCUGGAAUGCAGAGGUCUGGGUGGAGGUUAGUCAUAACUUCCAAAUAUGCAUAUCCCACCGGCCAAAUGUACACAGCUUCCCGGUGUUUGUGGGGAGACAGAAGUGGAAACACAAAGUGACAGCACCUUAGAGGAGCCCUGCUCUGUACGUUAUCACCACAGCAUCAGGGAGGCCUAGCAGGAAAACAAGCAGUGACUCUUCCCACUGCACAGCCUCACAAGACACAGCUGCCCCUUUGCUGAUGGCCCACGCUUAGCUGCUCAGCCUCGUAGACGCCUGGCUCUAGGCCAUGUGCCUCUGGCACCAGCGUGCAGGCCAGCAAGGGGCAAAAGCAGAAGAGUGGCUGGCAGAAGCAGCAGUCCUGUCUCACAGCACGGAGGCAUCUCAGGAGGAAUCCAGGCUGAGGCAUGUCUGAGGCAUCGAGCAGAGGAAAGGAAUUGAGGACAACCUCGCCUUGUGUCCAGAAGACCAGGAUACCCUAAAAUACAGGGGACACUCUAAGCUUGCGAAUAAUCCAUGGUGCGGGCUCCGUUCCUGCGUUCCUGCCUGUUCAGAGCCUACGGGCCCAGACCCACAGCCAGGAUGGCCAUCGCGGCCCAGGACGCUGCGUGUCCCUGGGCAGGGCUGCACCGCACGAGGGGCUUCUGAGUAUAAAGUAAAACGCAGAAAGAGAAAACUCAGUGGCUGCUUCUUGUAAUUCACAGUUCUCUUGACAACCCUAAGGCCACAAGAAGUACACACUGGAGAUGUGAAAACACACCUUGACCCCAGAAUGCAUUCCAUCCGGAUCACAGGUUAACUUUUAACAAUAAAACCCUAAAAUACUAGAAGAACAAGCAAAGCACACGUUCAUAAUGUUGAAAUGCAGAAGGCGUGAUCCAAAUCCCAAAAGAAAUGAAGGGGGGAAAUAGGCAACACUUCCUACAUGAAGAUAAAACGGUUCUGGUGAAGGAGUAAGUAGAGUCAAACAUAAACACCAAACGGGCAGAAAGUGUUUCUAACGCAGAUGCCAAGAGGUUCCUGAUUCGAACACACAGACAAAUCAUUAGAGAAGGAAGAGGGAGAACUGUUGCCCCAAAGAAAAGCACCAAGGGCCAUUAAGCUUCAUGAAGCGUGCUAAGCCGUACACACUUCGAGAUUUCUCUCACAAGGGAGUUGUGCAGUUUUCACUCCUCCCUCGGUAAGGAUGAAGUCCCGUCCCGCGCUGGAGGACGUGAGCCAGCCGAUGGGGGUAAAGGUGGGUGGGCCCUGUGUCUGCAGGCCGGCUGGUAGCGCUUUGACCCAGGCCCAGCAACUCAUCCCCUGUGCACUAAGCUGUUCCUUGCAGAAUUAGUUUCAAAUAACAGCAAAAAUGGACAACUCCGAAGGUGAGCAGGCCUUUCCUUCUCCGUGCACCUGGAGCCCCGGACAUGGACUCCGCGCUAAAUCUGAUAAGCUAGUGCCCUGCCCUG